CCAAGCAAAACGAAUUUAAGUUUGACCCCCCGAAACUAGGCGAGCUACUUUUAAACAGCCUCACGGGCCAACCCAUCCCCGUAGUAAAGGAGUGGGAAGAUUUAAAAGUAGAGGCGACACACCUACCGAGCCUAGAGAUAGCUGGUUAUUUAGGAAAGGAUUUAAGUCCCCCUUUAAGUUUUUUUAGUUUACCAAAACACAUAAUAAACUUAAAAGUUAUUCAAAUAAGGUACAGCCUAUUUGAACAAGGAAACAGCCUACAACAAAGGGUAACGCCCACUUCACGUGACCAGGUGGGCCUAAGAGCAGCCAGCCUUCAAAAAGCGUUCAAGCUUUACCACUAAUUUUUAUUAAUCCUACACUUAACACCCAGCCCUAAACCACUACUAAAUAACCCCAUACCCAUAUGGGGAAUAUUAUGCUAGAACUAGUAACAAGAAGUAGAGCUUCUCCUGAAUACAAGCAUAAGCUACAGUAUCAACUGUCCACUGGCAUUUACCGCUGCUCAACCCACGGUAGUAACAUCACAAGAGAACCCUACCCUACCUAGCGUUAACCUAACACCAGACUAUUCCAGGAAAGAUUAAAAAAGGGGGAAGGAACUCGGC
rnacentral:rRNA from 1 species